rnacentral:rRNA from 1 species
AUUGCACGCUGGCGGCAGGCCUAACACAUGCAAGUCGAGCGGAGAGUCGUCCGGGUGAGUAAUGCCUAGGAAUCUGCCUGGUCGUGGGGGAUAACGUCCGGAAACGGGAGCUAAUACCGAAUACUAUCAGAUGCGCCUAGGUCGGAUUAGCUAGUUUGUGGGGUAAAGGCCUACCAAGGCGACGCUCCGUAACUGGUCUGAGAGGAGGAUCAUGCACACUGGAACUGAGACACGGUCCAGACUCCUACGGUAGGCAGCAGGGGGUAAUAUUGGACAAUGGGCGAAAGCCUGAUGCAGCCAUGCCGCGGGUGUGAAGAAGGUCUUCGGAUUGUAAAGCACUUUAAGUUGGGAGGCGUUACCAACAGAAUAAGCACCGGCUAACUUCGUGCCAGCAGCCGCGGUAAUAC